CUCCUGGUUACUGGGGAUUAAAGUGUAACAACAUCUGUGGGUUCCCGUACUACGGAAUGCGCUGUUGGAACAUGUGUAACUGUUCCGAAAGUGAUUGUGAUCCAGCCUUAGGAUGCAAAACCUUAACUACUUUGGUAUCCCCAGCUUGUCCUCCUGGUUACUGGGGAAUAAAGUGCAACAACAUCUGCAAGUUCCCGUACUACGGAGUGCGCUGUUUGAACAUGUGUAACUGUUCCGAUAGUGAUUGCGACCCAACCUUAGGAUGCGAAACCUUAACGACCUUGACAUCCCCAGGUAUAACGUAUAACGUUUUAUUGAUAAAUAAAGUCGAUAUAUUCUCUA